UGCGUAACUUGAAUAUAUAUAUAAACUGCCGCCACCUUCGAUUCAUUCAUACUGCUGUUUGAUAUACGCACUGCAAAACGUGUUUACGAUAGUAAUAAUACCAAGCUAGUAACAGCUGGUGAGGUAGAACACUCGACAAACUUUGUUAUACUGGAAGCCGAUAGUUGGCUCUAAGAAGUGGUCACGUUCGAUUGGCUGUCUCGGAGUAUCGCCAUCACCCCGGUUUCUCUCGCUCGCCUAUAAGAAAACAGUAUUCGAUCGGUUCUGUCAGAGAUUGCCUCUCACUCAGCGUAACUUGAAACAACUUUCAGUGAUCCUGUGGAGUACUUUCGUAUCACGGUCGUGUUCGAUUGGAAUUUAUUUACCGCUUGGAACCAGUGGGAUUUUUACUUCUGUUUAAUCAUAAGUUCUAUUGUAAGCGUCUGAAGCCAAACGUUAUCAGCAUGUGGUGGCCGCAAGCAGACGAGAGCGCAGACGACUGCCGUGGCAGUGGGAUGUUCACGAGGAACUGUGUCUCAUUCACCAGGAGUUUCCGAAAACGUUCCGGGAAUGGAAAUGGCCGUGACGUCACAACGUAAAGCUGAGGUCUCUAGUCCAGACGCUGUUCUUACUUUACUUUUGAAGACUAAGGCUAAGAGUUUCGAGAGAGGAAUCCGCCAAUCAACGAUCGACUUGCAUCACAACUUGCAGCAGCAAAUCUUGGCCAGCUUUGUUUCUCGUAAACACUACGGCAGCGCUGGAUAGUGAGGUCCGUCAUGAUAGCUUUUGUAACAGUACUGAAUGUAUCGUCUCGUCAAAGCAAGGCUGUGCAAAUACCGACCUCUGACCCGGACACGGGUUGCACGUGUGCACAGUGUGUCCAGAUCGACUGUACAAUAAUUUAUAUGUGUGUAUGUAUAUGUAUAUGUAUAUGUAUACAAACAACACCCAACAAAAUAUAGUUACAUAUAUGUGUAAAUACUCAGUCUGGUGAUCGUUCCAUUGCACAGAGAACAAACUGUACUAGUUAGGACACAACGGGUGCAACCAUGCAAGACUCGUAUUUAAUAAUGUGAAACAUGUCGUGUCUACUCAAAAAGAAGGCCACUCCAUUGUUUUCUCUGACGUCAUUACUAGCUACAACCAUCCACCAUCUUCAAGCUGCUGCAACUAACCGCUAGCGAUAUCCAUGAAUGACGUGUUUCAAAUGAAUACUUCUUUGAAAUGAAGAAAUCGUCUAGUUCAGACAUAUUUACUCAAGACUGGCGGUUUCAGUAAUAAUUACUGAACACAAACAAGAUCAAUGGUAUUACCCUCGUUUUCUAAAUACAAUUAUCGUCUACAAACAACUUUCCGUGCGACAGGCGUUGGUGAUCAAAACUUCGGAAGAUGGAUUCAUGCGUUCCUCACAGACAUGACAAAGUGAUGAUCGUUGUGGAAAGACUCGUACAGAAUAUAUAUUUAUUUUAUCUUUUCAUAGAUUUCCUUUCUAUUCCAAGUCAGUUGAUGUGGACAUUGCAGCUAUGUGUUUGUAUGUUUUACACAGGCGUCAAUGCACUCUGGAGUGGGGGUCUGUUGGAAAUGUGCAGAGCGUCUUCAGUUUCGUCAGAUCUAUACAUGUUUGUCAUGUUCCAUAAUACUGUCUGUAUUUCGGAUGUAUCUAGUUUAUUGUAUUAAUAUAUUUAUAAACAAUAAAGAUAGAAUCGCUCAUUAAAAUAAAAUGUUCAAAUGCACGAAUUACGUUUAAUAACAUACAUUUCCAACAUGGAAUUAAUGAUAAGGAAAAAAAAGCUUAACAUUUGAUUGAUUGAUUAAAACGAUAAUUUUAAUAUGUUUUUCACGUAUGAUAUACGCUAAUUCUGUUACACCUCAGGGCUCUAUGCACAUGUGUAACACAUGCGACACAUCUUUCCUGUGAAUCAUGACAACAGAUGUGCCUCUGAGUCGAGUUGUGUGAGGUUUAAUGACAUUGACAAAAAUAACGCCAAUGUUUAACUGUCUUGACCUGAAAUCCAGAUCUGAGCAUUUCACCCUAUGUUUUCAUCAUCGUUUUCUUUUUUCAUUUUACGUUUCAUUUUGUUUCUUUGAUUAAACCGCAUCACAUCCUUGUAUUUAUUAUAACGAGUCGCUAGCCGGUUAUGGAAUGUCAGAAGAUGUACAUUUUGAGUGUGACAUAAGACGUACAAAUGGCAUACACAUGUAAUCUAAUUUCAGUUACUUUGUUUUGUACGAAAAUAAAAACGUUUAGUCAA